GGACUCGUAAUCGAGAAUAAUAAUGAUAAGGCUCGAAUGUCAGAUACUUUCUCAAGACCAGAGGUUCCAUCCAUCCUUUCUUGGAUGUAACUGUGAAUGUCGAGCAAUAUAUCCACCUCUGCAAGAAAGAGAGAAAGAGGUACGGCAAAGAGAGGAUGCCCUUCUGCCUGAUGCAAGCUCUCUUGGUUGAUAUAGGCAGGCUGUUCGAUAUGCAGAUGGAGAUGGAUCGUGGGAAAAUGUGAUUUUUUCUUCUUUCAAAACGCAAGAACAAAUUAUUCUGUGUUUGGUGUACCUUAUUCUUUACUUACAAAUUAACGACACAGAGUUUCAAUGA